rnacentral:rRNA from 1 species
GUACGGAAGGCAGCAGUGGGGAAUAUUGGACAAUGGGGGAAACCCUGAUCCAGCCAUGCCGCGUGAAUGAUGAAGGCCUUCGGGUUGUAAAGUUCUUUUGGUAGGGACGAUGAUGACGGUACCUACAGAAUAAGCUCCGGCUAACUUCGUGCCAGCAGCCGCGGUAAUACGAAGGGAGCUAGCGUUGUUCGGAAUUACUGGGCGUAAAGGGUGCGUAGGCGGUUUAAUUAGUCAGAUGUGAAAGCCCUGGGCUCAACCUAGGAACUGCGUUUGAUACUGUUAAGCUAGAAUUCGGGAGAGGUGAGUGGAGUUCCCAGUGUAGAGGUGAAGUUCGUAGAUAUUGGGAAGAACACCGGUGGCGAAGGCGGCUCACUGGACCGACAUUGACGCUGAGGCACGAAAGCGUGGGGAGCAAACAGGAUUAGAUACCCUGUAGUCCG